AUACGGAGGGGGCUAGCGUUGUUCGGAAUUACUGGGCGUAAAGCGCGCGUAGGCGGAUCGUUGAGUCAGGGGUGAAAGCCCGGAGCUCAACUCCGGAACUGCCCUUGAUACUGGCGAUCUCGAGUCCGGGAGAGGUGAGCGGAAUUCCUAGUGUAGAGGUGAAAUUCGUAGAUAUUAGGAGGAACACCAGUGGCGAAGGCGGCUCACUGGCCCGGUACUGACGCUGAGGUGCGAAAGCGUGGGGAGCAAACAGGAGUAGAAACCCUAGUAGUCC
rnacentral:rRNA from 1 species